AGAAAUUAUUUUAUUUUAGAGCUUUACUUCUGCGAGAUAUGCUAGUACCUUUACAUCCGAAGAAGAAAUUGAUUAUUCGCCAGCGGAGAUUGAACUGAUGGGAAGGCUGUACGAGCAAGGAAUGUACAUUUUGGAGAUUUUCAAAAUGGUCCGCAGUUUCGUGUUUCAUCCGAAAUUGGUCAGAUCUUUCUUCAAGCCUCCCCACUUUACGCCGUAGGGAAUUUCAAAUAUACUUGAUUAGAAAUGAAAUAAAACUACC